rnacentral:rRNA from 1 species
UACGUAGGCAGCGAGCGUUGUUCGGAAUUACUGGGCGUAAAGCGUGCGCAGGCGGUUGUGCAAGACCGAUGUGAAAUCCCCGGGCUUAACCUGGGAAUGGCAUUGGUGACUGCACGGCUAGAGUGUGUCAGAGGGGGGUAGAAUUCCACGUGUAGCAGUGAAAUGCGUAGAGAUGUGGAGGAAUACCGAUGGCGAAGGCAGCCCCCUGGGAUAACACUGACGCUCAUGCACGAAAGCGUGGGGAGCAAACAGG